UUUUUAUAAUAUUAUUUUUGUAUAUAAUUUGAUACGCUAAUAUUAUUGUAAUGACCAAAUUUUUGAUUAGACCGACCGUCCCUAGAGCAAGUGGCAAAGAAAUUGGUGGUUGGUAUCCGAAACUCAAGCUCGAAUCCUAGCUCAUUCACAUUUUCAGUUAAGUUUAUUUCUAAAUAAAAUAAACGAAACGGGUAGCGUGCUACCUAUCUUAAAAAAAAAACAAAUUUUUGAUUAGUUGACUUAUAUAUUUUGAAAAUUUUGCAUGGAAUGGU
rnacentral:lncRNA from 1 species